rnacentral:tRNA from 1 species
UCCGGGGUAGCUCAAUUCGGCAGAGCAGGCGGCUGUUAACCGCAAGGUUGCGGGUUCGAGUCCCGCCCCCGGAG